rnacentral:misc_RNA from 1 species
GGGGCGUGGUGGUGGUUCAUUGUUGGACCGGGUUGUUGCAUUAUAAAAACAAGGCGUACAGAAAUACUUUAGUGGGUUCACCAGGGGAAAGAAAGAAGAAAUUGAAAGUUAAUUGACAAUAGAGUUUUCUUCAAGGUAUGCGGUUGGUAAAAUUUGUUGGCUGGUUUAGCUUUCAAUUAAAUAAUAUCAAAUUUGACCAUUUUCUUUCCUUUUUAUUCACUUUAAUUUAUUAUUCAAUUCCUUUCAAGUUUGCUUCUGUUGAGUAUAAUCGCUUUCAGGGUCUUCUACCCCUGUUUAUUUGUUGCAGCCUUGCAGGGGCUCUUCCUUGAUCAUUAUUGGAUUUGUUCUGGCUUUAAGAACAAAUGAAUUUAUUAACUUCUACAGGUUCUGAUUCUCGAAUCAUUUAAAUAAUUAUUGUCAUUCAACUUCAAUUUUCCGCUAUUUCAAGUACUGGGUCUCUAAAGGUGGAAGUUCUAGACAAUAGCAAUCAGGCAAUUUGUUUACUCUGUUGGUGGUAAAGUUCUUGUUUUUCUCUGAAAGAUAUUUUACAUUUUCCAAGAACUGUACAUGUGACAUUUGGGGAUUGAAAAGAAGAAGGAAAAAGCCUCAUAAGUUGCUUCUGAUAUUUCAUUAUACCCUAUUAUUGUCAUGUGCUUUUAAGAGUCAAUUCAUUACUCCAGCAUCCACAAACGAUGCAACCUUGCACAUGAAACAUGCAUAGCUUUCUUAUUCCAGUAAUACCUCCUAUCUGUAGUAGUCUGAAAAAUCGUGUUUCUUGGCACAAUUAGACGGGCAGAUCUGCCAGCACUUCGCAGCGUUGAUGAUUCCAUAAAACAGCCUGCAUUUUUCAUUCCAUUGAUUGUAACAAGUUUUAUUUAGCUUUACAGCAGAGGUUGCCCAUGGCCAGAUCCAGGCUUCUCCAACCUCAACGCAUACAUACAUGACAAGCAUGGCAACAAGCAUAACAUUGGUAAUUUUGCUUACUGCCAUUUUUUUUUUCUCUACUUUCCUAUUGGUCUUGUGUCUUUGCGAUGAGUUGAAUGCAAUUGGAAGAAGGUAAUGCCAAGGGUGGAUUUCUAUAGGAUUUAACAUUGAGAAAACCUUUUGUUGUGAGUAUGAGUUGGCUUUAGAAGUUGUUAUGAACCUAAGGACACGUAUAGGGUAAAUUAAUUCGGUGCAUUGUUAACCUAAAAUCAUUUCUCCUCCUUUACAUCUCAUGCUUUGAUAUGCUAGGAAAAAAUGAAAAAUGGUUGGAGAUGGUUAAGAAAAAGAAUGUCCAUGAGAACAGGUUGACAUGUU